AUACGGAGGAUCCGAGCGUUAUCCGGAUUUAUUGGGUUUAAAGGGUGCGCAGGCGGCCAUUUAAGUCAGCGGUUAAAUCGUGGGGCUCAACCCCAUUCUGCCGUUGAUACUGGGUGGCUUGAUUGCGGUCGAGGUUGGCGGAAUUCGUUGUGUAGCGGUGAAAUGCAUAGAUAUGACGAAGAACACCGAUUGCGUAGGCAGCUGACCAGACCGCAAAUGACGCUCAUGCACGAAAGUGCGGGGAUCGAACAGGAUUAGAUACCCUGGUAGUCCGCACAGUAAACGAUGAAUACUCGCUGUUUGCGAUACACUGUAAGCGGCCAAGCGAAAGCGUUAAGUAUUCCACCUGGGGAGUACGCCGGCAACGGUGAAACUCAAAUGAAUUGACGGG
rnacentral:rRNA from 1 species